UCUUGGGUUUAUCCCUGCGUGUCAUGUAUACUGUGAAAAACGCUUGGCAAUCAUUGGCUGAGUACUCAACAACCAGUCCUGCCUAAGUUCAAAAACCCUCCCUUGGGGACCAAAAUUUUAUCAGGAGGUGGGGUCCAUGGCCAGCCCCAGCUACAGAGAGCCAAUACAAUCAAAGUGGUAAUCCUACUCAUCCUGCCCAGGGUUAGUGUUGAAAGGCACACAGGAUGCAGUUUUGGUCUUUGCAAGAUCAAAGAUACUCUGCUGUGAGUCUACUAAAAUGGGAUACAAGGAUGACACAGUUCUUCUAUCCCUUAACUAUUUUUGAGGAUGUGACACUUGUAAUAGCUGCAGCCAUUGUGACUUAAGGCAAGCUGAUCGGAGGAUGAGGCAGAAAUGCUAAGGACAGCACAAUGGAAAAUCCAAGUCCUUGGUGACACAAAUGAGCCUCUGAUUUGACCAACCCUGGAGCUGACCUCAACAGAGUUGGGGUCUUUAGUUUUUUCCACCAAAAAGCAUCAUAACUGAUAAUAUAUCUCCAAUGAGCCCCUUUAGGACAGAGACUGCUCAUCCUGAUGAGUACCUAAUCCUUAGUACAUAGCACGGUGUUGGGCACAUAGUAAAUGCUUGUUUGCUAAAACUGGGACAGGAAGGGAAGCAGAGGAAAGUUCUAGAACCUGAAGUAAACUCUCUUCAUAUAUAGAUAUGACUUGCUUUAUUUUAAACUCAGUUUAUCAUCUCCUGGAUUUACCACAAUUACAGUAGAUCAAAGAGAAUUCUCAGUUUACAAAAGGAUGUGUAUCUUUACCAUGGAUUAAUUUAACUAUAUCCCCUACUACAUUUAAAGUCCUUAUACAAAACUUGGGAGCAAUUGAGUCUGUCAAAAUCGUUACAUGCCCCCCACAGUUUUCUGUUGCACCACCAAAGAAGUGUUAGAAAUUCUGCAGAUUCUUCAAAGAAAUGUCCCCUAAUCUUCCUCUACCUCCAUAGUCAUUUUAAGAUUACUGUUAAGACCAAAAACAAACAAACAAAAAACCUUUCUUAGAUUUUCUAUCUGGAGAUAAAACUCUUCUCAGUUUGAGGCCCCUUCAGUGAUAUCAGAAUAUUUUUUUGAGUCUCUCCUAGACUAAGAAAUCUUCCUUUAACUUUUUGGUAGGCUACCACACUGUUUUCAUUUCCUUAUUAUCUUGAAAGGAUCAUCCCCAUUUGUGCUCCUCCUCUCCCAGCUCUUCAGCCUACUAGUGCUGGCUUCUUCAACUACCACCACCAGCACUCCACUGACAGCACUUUUUCAAAAGUCACCAGUGUCCUAACUGUCAACUCAUGACUUCUUUUUGGUCCUGGACCUACUUGACCUUUCUUUCAGUUAACACAGUUAACCACUUCCUCUUUCUCAAAACUUCCCUGAUCUUCCACAAAUCUCCUUGUUCACCUCCCCUCUUCUGUUACGUCAUAAACUCCUCCACUAGUUCUUCUCCCAGGCGCUUCUUCCAGCAGUUCUACUCAAAGUGUGGUCCUUGGACCAGUGCCAGCCUGCAUACUGCUUGUGUUUAGUCCACAGGGAGAUAAGUACAGAAGUUAAGAGUAAAUGCUUAGCAGCAUUUAUAGCAAUCUUAACAUUUCAGCAAUAUCCAAGCACAUGAUCAUUAGAUCCUUCUCAUUAAACAGCAGAUAGAGUGGUUCGGGUGUUCUCCCCCUUGUGUGGUGAGUUGCAGGUCAGUGUCAUGGUUGUGUCCGUGUCGUGUACAGUAGGUCACGCUGGUGAAGGAGUAAAAUGUUAAGGUUAGUUUAUCAACUGUAACCCAAAAGUGGAUAAAAAUCUGUGAAAAUGUAAAUAUUUAUUUACUUUUAUAACUUGCUAUUUUCACAGUCAUUUUAAUUUUUAAUCAAGCCUGUUUUUUUGAAAUUCAUAGUAAAAUUUGUGUCCUUUGUUUUUAACCUUAAAUUAUAGAUGGUGAAAUAAGCUUCACCAUCCUAUUUUGUCCAGAAAAGACAUACUUCAGUAGUGGGUUAGUAAUAAUAGUAGUAAACCAAAUAAUAACCAGAGAAGUGAUUCCAAAGAUCUGAGUUUUGGGAUGAUUUUACUCAGAAGUAUAAUCCCCUGUCUUCUGAGCUCAUAGCCAUAACUCAUAAUAAAGUAAUAAAGCCGUCAAGUGUCCAUGGCAUUUAUGUAUAAAAUACAGAGAAACUAAUUAUGAAUUUUAUAAAACAUUUUGAAUUUUUAUUUUCCAUGAAAAUCAACAUGUAUAGGGAAUUUAUGGAUCCAGGAUCCAUUUCUUUCAUUCAAAGAUAAUUUAAAUGUAACUAAUUUAAUAGGACAAAUUUUUGGAACUGGCUGCUGAUGAAGAAUUGAGGAUGAAUUUUGAAAAUAAAGCAUCAUUUGUUUCAUUUGGGAUGAAAAUUUAAAAUGAAUAUCCUGAGCUUGCUGAAAUUGCUUUAAAAUCUCUUCUUCCAAUCCCUUUGAGAGUCUGAUUUCUCUACUAUAAGUCUUACUAAAUACAACAUAGAACCAGUUUAGAUAUACAUUAUCUCCUACUAGUGGCACUGUCACCAAUCCAACCUAGAUUAGAGAACUUAACAAGCAAGAAGUACAAUAAUUUGUCAUGUUAAAAACUUUAAAUAUUAAAUAUUGUUAUAGUAUUUAACAUGGGAAAUUGCCACUUCACUACCAACUGUUUGUUUAGUUGUUAUGACUGGAUUGAGAGAAAAAUAGGAAGUAUUAGCAAUCCUCUAUAUUAAUCACCUAUAUGUACACUUUCAGUGAACAAAGUGCAGUUUUUAUAGUUUUUUCUUUUAUCCUAUGUUAUUUUUGGUCUAAUUAUGUUUUUUGAAAUGUAAUUUUAUGUCUGUUUAAAAUACUUAAAAAUAUGAGUGUACAUUUGGCAUGCCUUUUUGUUUUCACUUUAUUUUUCUAGUACUUUUAAAAAUUUUGUUUUUCAAAAGUAUCAAUUCAUGAAAAAUUGGAAAUUAAAAGGAAAGAAAAAGUUUGUUGCUUCAUAGACAGUGAGAUAUAGCACUGGCCUGGAAGAUCUUCAGCACUCUUCUCUUGCUCUAUUUCAUUCCCAUGAUUUAAAUCACCUCCCAUGUGUGUGUUCUUAGAUUCUUUUAGGUUUCAAGCAACAGAGACCCACUCAGUUUACCUGAGUUAUUCAGGGUUAAUGAUUAGUUUGGGAUGGGGAGAAUGAAGAAGACAGAAAAAAACAAGAGUCCCUGUGACAACCUUGGUGUAUCUUGUCAUUCUCCAGCAGCAGGCACUGUGGAUGUGGUUGUUCUUCCUCUCUUUAAGCUGUUCUCCCACAGUGACCUCUCCAGCCCACCAAUUCACACCCUUCAGGAGAGAAAAUAUGACUGAUUCGCCUACUAAACUGUAGUUUAUAUUAGCAGGAUCAAAGCCCUUUGUUCAAAAGUUACUGAGACUUUCAAGGUGAUAACGGCAGAACAUUAAACCAACCAUGAGGCUCUUCUAACAUGAAGUUUAGAACUGCAUGGCUCACAUGCCCAUAAAGCCAGGUCUGCCCAUGAGGGUAGAUCUGUGUCUGUCCUCCUAACUAGGGUGUCCCCAUGCCUAGCAUGUGCCCAUAAUACAGAGCAGUCAGUUGGGCUUGAUACCAAGGGGUAGCUAGUUUAGUACUACACUAUUAUAUUAGUUUCCCCUCCUUCCUUGCUUACUCCCCUUUGUCUUCACUCCUUUUCCUCUCAAAUUGCUCUCAGGCUGUAUUUUGUAGAAAACCCAAGCUAAAAGACCUGGCCCCAGGAUAGUCCUGCAGACAAUCAGGCUAGGAUAUUGGAGCUGAGUUACUCACUGAUUUUAUGGUGAUAAAGACCCAGGGCAUGGUAACUGAGUAGUAAGUGGGGCCACACUGUGAUAUCAUCAUUGCUAAGCUUCCCACCUGUGGCCAGUCGGGAUGCAGCACAGAUAGAAAAUGAGGCAUUGGAACUUGUGGUGGCUGUAGUGCUUGAACAGAGUGGGACAAUAGGAUGGGAUGGAUUCUGUUGACGGAAUUGUAUACCUUACAAAAGAAAAUGACACCUCAGGGCAGCCAACUGUCACCUUUAGGCACACUGAGAAAGAGCGGGCCUCUAUUGGCAACUUUUUAAAAGACUAAUUUUCUAUAGCCUAAAGAAAACUAUACUAAGAAUCAGGCCUAGAACCUGAUUGUAAGGGCAGCAGAGUCCCUGAUAAAGCAACUAAAUGCAUAGACUUGCAGGGUCUCCUAUGUCCACGUCUGGUCCCUGAAAGGGAAAAGAGACCUAAGACUUAGGAAUGGGUCACUUGAGUAGACGAGCCUGAGAAUAUUGAAUCCCCCAAUUUUCCCCUGUGGAGCACUGGAAAAAAUUCAGCAACUAACUCAGGAGAGUGGGAUGCAAGGAAAGAACACAUUUUUAGCAUUUGCUAAUUUCUGUUGAAUAAACACUCCCAACUUAGUCAAUUUCAAGCUACCAACGUAAUGUCACUAAACAGAGUUGAGAAGAGAUGUACCCAAUUGGCUCCUGUGAGCUGAUAUGAACCAGCUCCAACCCACCAGUGCCCUGAACCCUCUGGCUGGUAGAAACAUCACCUCUUCUCUUGCUUGUAAAUCAUGCGAUGACUUCUGAAGCAAGUGGCUCUCCAAAGGGACUUGCAGCCAUUUGACAGUGUAACUGUGCACUGGAAAAAGAGAAAUGCCCAGAGUCUUCAAGAACUGUUAGAUACAGGGUCUAAGCUAACAUUGAUACCAUCAUGAUUGAUCAGUUAGAACAGACCAAUGGAAUUUUGGCUCAACUCCAACUUACAGCAGGUCCAAUAGGUCUUUGAACACAUUCUGUGGUCAAGUCAUUGAAUGUAUGAUUAGGAUAGAUAAUCUUAACGAGUGGCAAAAGUUUCACAUUGGUUCCCUGACCUGUGGAUUGCUAGCCAUUAUGUAGGAUGGGCUAAGCAGAGGUUCUGGAAACACAAUGAAGUGCAUAUACAUGUAGAAAAAGGUCUCAAAGAAUGAACAACAAUGUGCAGACAGAGGUGGUUUUUCUUUGUUCCCUUAAUUUUAUACAGUAAACUUAGAUUUGUAUAAUUCUAUGUAUGGUGUUUUAUAAUAAGAAAAAACUGUAUAAUUUUUAAUUAUAUAUAUAUAUAUAAUUACUGUUUUGAGGUUUUUACAUUAUAUGUAAAGUUGUAUAAUAUUAAUUCAUCAGAGAUGCAUAUUAUAAUCACUAUAGUAAUCAACCUCCCCCCAAAAUGAAAAAAAUAUAACUAAAAAGCAAAUAAACUCCAGUUAAAAGGCAGCGAUUGUCAGGCUGAAUAAAAAAGCAAGACGUAAUGAUAUGCUAUUUUCAAGAGGUUUACUUUAGAUAUGAAGACACAACUAGGUUAAAGUGAUAGACAUAAAUAUGCCAUGAAAACAUUAAUCAUAAGAAAGUUAGAGUGCCUAUUUUAAUAUAAAAGAAAGUAGGCUUCAGAACAAGGAGUUUUACCAGAGAUGAAAGGGUCACUCAAGAAGAUACCACAACUUAAAUAUGCAUGCAUCAAAUAUAGUUUCAAAUUCAAGAUGCCAGAAUUGACAGAACUAAAAGGAGAAAUAGACAAAUACCCAAUUAUAGUUAGAAAUCAUAGCACUCCUUUCUCUGGAAUUGAUAGAACAAGUACACAAAAGUACUUGAGAAUUUUCCAGACUUUUUUGUAUUGACCUCUAAUUUCAAUCUGCUAAGCUCAAAAAAACAUACUCUGAUUUCAAUCAUUUGAAAUGUAUUCAGGCUUGUUUUAUGGCCCAACUUGUGGUCUAUCUUGGUGAAUAUUCUCUGUGCCUUUGAGAAGAUGUAAUUUUAUGGUUGUUGGGUAUGAUAGUCUAUAAAUAUCAAUUAGGUUAAUUUUUGUAUCCAGUGUGAUGUAGGAGUUACGGCUUAUUUUUUCCUUAAAAAAACUCAGUCAUUUCAGUACUAUUUGUGAAAAUCUUGAUGAACAGAAUAUAUAAAGAACUACUCCAACUCAAUAAUACAAAGACACCAACCUGAUUUUUAAAUGGGCAAAAUACAUGAAAAGACAUUUCCUAAAGGAAGAUAUAUGAAUGGCCAAUAAGCACAUGGAGAGAUGUUCAAUAUCAUUAGACAUUAGAGAAAUGCAAACUAAAACCACAGUGACAUACUCUACAAUGACUAGAAUGUCUAAAAUGAAAAUGAUGGCAACACCAAAUGUUGGCAAGGGUCUGAAGCAACCAAAACUGUCUUUUAAUUAGGUGGGAGAACAUAGUACACACACUCUUAAGGUGGCCCUGUUUGAUCCCCACCCACUAGAUUUCAAGCUCUAUGUGCUCCCCUCCCCUUGAGUGUGAGUGGAACUUGGAAUAGAAGGUGGCAAAGGAGAUGGAUUGUACAUAUUUAAAUGUAUUUGAUUAGAUGAUUACAUUUUAUGAGAUUAAAUGUAAUCUUGUUGGGGUCUCUUGCUCCUUUGCUGGCUUUGAGGAAGCAACUGGCCAUGUUAAGGAACCCCACAUGGUAAUGAAAUGCAGGUAGCCUCUAGAAGCUGAGGGCAACCUCCAGCUGACAGCCAGCAAGAAAUUGAAGCCCUUGGUCAUACAGCUGAAAGGAAUUCUGCCAACAACCACAUGAGUCCAGAAGCAAAUCCUUCCUCAGUGGAGCCUCCAUAUGAGAACCUAGUCUUGUUCAACACCUUGGUUGCAGCCUUGCAAAGGAUUAACUAAGCUGUGCCCAGACUCCUGACUCAUGGAAACUGGAAGAUAAUAAAUGUGUGUUGUUUGAAACUGUUAAACUUGUGGUAAUAGUAUUAAGCAAUAAAAGAUAACUAAUACAGACUAUAAAAUGGUACAGCCACUUUGGGUGAUGGUUUGACAUUUUCCCAUAACAUAAAUAAACACCAACCAUACGACCCAGAUAGUCCAUACUCAAGAGUAACGUAAGUCUACCAAAAAGGUCAUACACACAAAUAUUCAUAACAACUUCAUUCAUAAUAGCCAGAUCAGGAAAAAUAAAUUUCCAUCCAUACAAGAAUAGAUAAAGAAAUUAUAGUAUAUUGAUGCAGUACAAUGAAUACUACUCAACAAUGAAAUGUAAUAAGCUUUUGAUAGACACAAAACAUGAAUGAGUCUCAAAAACAUUGUGCCAAGCUACGGAAACUAGACACAAUAGAGUACAAACUGUGAGUCCAUUUAUAUGAAGUCUUAGCACAGGCCAACCUAAUCUAUGGUGAAAGGAAUUGAACCAGUGUUUGGCUCUGGGGAUUGAGGGCAGGCAUUGACUUGAAAAGGGCAUGAGAUAACUUUCUGCAGUGAUUGACAGCUCCCUAUCUUGAUGGAUUAUACAGGUGUGUGCAUCUGUCCAAAGACUUUGUCCUGUACACAUAAGAUCUGUGCUUACCACUAUAUGUAAAUUAUAUUUUAAUUUUAAAAAAUGAAAAAGGACAAUGGAUACUGUUUGGUAAAGAACAGUACAUAUGUCUCAACCCAAAUUACCCCAAGAUGCUUACAAAGAUAAAGAAAAAAGCGUCUGCUGUGUGGAGUGUGUAAGAACUUUUCCAGAGGGAAAGGGACCUUCUGCUUGAUUCUGCUCUCUCAGUUGAUCUUUGUGCCUGGAGCUUCAUUGACUCUAUCCACCCAAAGAAUAUCAUCCAACGCAAUGAAUUCUGUGAACUCUAUAGCCCAUAUUUAAUCAAUAUAUAGUCAUAAUAUGACCUAUACACAAACAUGGCUGCUGAGAUAACUUUAUCAUCCUUAUUGUGUAGUUACUUCAAACAGGAUUUGGUUUUCAUGCAUUAUCAAAGAUAAUACUUAAUUCAAAAUAUUAUUUGUUGUGGUGCUCUGCCAAGCAAUGUAUGGAGAUUGAAUUAUCAAAAGACCUAUGAGCGAGAAACUGUCAAGGAUAUCGAAAACAAGAAAAGUCUGAGAAACCGUCAGAGUCUAAAGAACCUAAGGAGAAAUAACAACUAAAUGUAAUUUCAUAUCCUGGAUGGGAUCUUGGAGCACAAAAAGGACAUUGGGUUAAAAAUUAAGAAAAUCUGAAUAAAGUAUGGAUUUUAUUAAUAAUAAUUUGUCAAUAUUGGUUCAUUAAUUGUAGGCAAUGUACUAUACUAACAUAAGAUGUGAAUAAUAAGAGAAAUUAUGUGUAGGGGUGAGGGAAUAUUUGGGAUCUCUCUGUACCAUUUUCUCAAUUUUUCUGUAAAUAUAAAACUGCACUAAAAAUAAAAUCCAUUUUUUUAAAAAGACCAUGAGAACAAGCUUUGUAUUGCGGUAGGAUGUGGGAAACAGUCACUGUAAGACACUUAUCACAUACAAUAGACUAGAGGACAGGUUUAAAUCGUGGGGUCAGAAAGAAAGGGGCAACCCCAGGAACAGGACAGUGGUUUCAAAUCUGUCUCUUUUACUGUCUCUGCAAAGCUCCUUUCCUCCAAAUAGUUGCUUUCCUCCAAAUAGUUGCAGUCAGUGUCAACCACCCUCUCCUCUGGCAGCUGCUAUUGUUUCUCUUUUUGCCCUCUGCCAAUCUGGACAUGGGACAUCUACAAGUCCCCCCAAAGAAAUUACUGGCAUAAAAACAUUAAUGAGAAAUGUAGUUGUUUUUGAUGAUUUCUUAGAGAAAAAUGGAGGAGGCAUUUGUGUUAAAUCUGACAAACAAUUUUUAAAUCUCCUUUAAAUUGGAGAUUUAUAAGGAUAUAAUUGGGACAAUGGUGGAAAUUGGAAUAUGGACCGAACAUUAGAUAUUGUGUUGUAUUAAGUUUACAUUCCCGAGUGAGAUAUUUAUAUUGUGAUCAUAUGGGAGAAUGGCUUUGUUCUUAGAAGACACAUGCCGAAGUAUUCAGUGAUGAAGUUUCAUGAUAUCUACAGACAACUUUCAAAUGGUUCAGAAAAAACAUUUCUUUCUGUGUCUACUUUUUAUCUGCCUAUCUAUAUACAAAAUGUGAAUAUACAUAUAUGUAUAAAAAUGUACUUUCUCUGUCUCUCCCUGUACAUGUAGAUGCAAUGGGUAUACCAGUGUUCACUGUACUAUUCUUUCAUCUGUUCUAAAGUUUUGGUAUUUUUCAAAAAAAAAACACUUGUGGGAAUCUCCUUUAAGAUAUCUAUUCUUCAAAAGCCAUACUUGGCUCCUCCCCACCAGGGAUCUCUUGGUAGUCCUUCCCCAAUCCUGCCGUACCUUUGAUGACUCUGGAGUUUUACACAAGAUGUCUUUCUCCCACUUCAAAUACAUCGCCUGUCUAUAUGUACAAAGCAUUUACCUCUGCUUGGCUUCUACCCUCAAAAUCACAAUCCUAAACUCAUCAAAACCUUCGAUGAAACCUAGGGGGCUCUCACUGAUAGGGCCUACCCUCCUCAGAAGAUAGUCUAGCAACCAUCCUGUACAACCACACAUGUGUUUUUGAGAUAUUUUCCCUACCCACGUAGCAUAAUGAAACGUUCCCACCAAAUACUACUUCAAAAGAAUUCUGGGGAAUGGAAUUUUCAUCUCAGUUUACAACUAGAGGACUCCAACACUGUAUCAAAUUAGAAAGACUGCUUCUAUUUCUAAACUGACUCAUGUCAUCUGACCUCACUCUCAGCUUUAGAAGAGUACUGACGAAGAUAUUCACACAGAAGUGCUACACUUCCAGAGAUGUCACAAAGGAAGAACAACCAGUUGAACUAAUAACAGCCAGGCGCUUUCAUGGAGAUGAUCUGAAUGGCAGGGUGAAGAGUUCUAUAGACUUGUUCUCCAGUGAAAUAGCUGUAAACAGUGAAAAUAUUUUUUUUAAUUUAAAUCUCUGAAAUUGUCCUAAGGGCAUACAGCAAAUGAAGAAAUGUUUACUAAAGAAAAUCUACUAGAUCUCAGUAAGAACAGUCAGAGUCUAUGGCACUUUAGCCACAACGUAUUACCCCCUUCCUUCUCUCCAGCUCAGAAUAAAGAAGACUCCACCCUGAGCAUAUGUGGCCAAGAAAACGGAGCUCCCAAAUUCCCAGCUGAAUCAAGAUUCAACUAUAUACUAUCUACAAGACAUUUUUGAUUCAAGGUAUAAAAAGUUUGAAAAUAAAAGGCUGGAAAAAGAUACAUCAUGUAAACAACCAUAAGAAAGCUGGAGCAGCUAUAUUAAUAUCAGAUGAAAGAGACUUUAAAAUUAUUUACUAUUGAUAAAAAGAAUAAUUUUAUUAUGAUUAAAGUAUCAAUCCAAUAGAAAGAUAUAAUAAUUAUAAACAUGUAUGCUUCUAAGAACAGAACCCCAAAAUGCAUGAAGCAAACAUUGACAGACUUGAAGGGAGAAAUAGUCAAUUCAACAAUAAUAGUUCGAGACCAAUAACCCCCACUUUCAAUAUGGAUAGAACAACUAGACAGAAGAUCAGCAUGAAAAUAGAAGACUUGAAGAACUCUGUAAACCAACUAGCCCUAACAGAUAUCUGUAAAUCAACUCUACCCAACGAAAACAGAGUGCACAUUCUUCUCAAGUACACAUGAAACAUUCUCUAGAACAGACCAUAUGCUAGGACAUACUACAAAUUCAAUAAAUUUAGAAUGAUUAAAAUCACACAAAGUGUGUUCUCCAACCACAGUGGAAUGAAAACAGCAAUAUAGAAAGAAAUUUGGGAUACUAAAAAGUAUGUGAAAAUUAUACAGCACACACUCCUAUAUCAUCAGUAAAAGAAGAAAUCACAAGAAAAAUUAGAAAAUACUUCUAAGUAAAUGAAAAUGGAGACACAACUUACUAAAAUUUAUGGGAUGCAACAAAAACUGUGGUUAAAGGACAUCGUAGCUAUAAAUGCCUAUUUUAAAAAGAAGAAAGGUCUGAAAUCAAAACUUAAACAUCCACCUUAAGACAUUGGAAAAAGAGAGCAAACUAAACAUAAAGCAAAGCAUUAGCCAUGAGGGAAAUACAAGUAAAAACCAUAAUGAGCUGUCACUAUGAUGGCUGUAAUCAAAAAGUCAGAU